CUUUGAGAAUGUGAUACAUGAAAAUGAUCUUAACCCAUGUAAGAAGCAGGAAGGUGAGGCAUUCUGAAAGGAGCAUUAAUCUUGCCUGGAAGGGCCGACCUGCUGGCAGCCGAUUCAUCAGCAACACUCCCUGGAAGCUGCUGGCCCACACUUUCUGUCAGUGGUGGGUGGCAAGAUUCAGAAAUGUUAAGAGAAGAAUACCUACAGUCUUCAAAUCUGAGCUCCUCUGUAUGCGGACCAUGGGCAGGUUAGCUUUUAUGGAGAACAUAAAGAACUGGAAUGCAAACGCAAGUGUGUACAGAGGGCCAGUUAAGGUACUCAUUCAGAAACCUGAAGGAUCAGCUAUGUCUUAA
rnacentral:lncRNA from 1 species